rnacentral:lncRNA from 1 species
CGCGGAGUUACGUCAUCUAGCAGUGGAUUGUCAGUUCGGACAAAUGGAGGAUGAAAUGCUACGGGACCAACUAAUUGAACGGACUUUCCUGGCCGCGGUGAGAGAUAGACUGUUACUCGAGUCGGAACUUACAUUGGAUCGCGCUUCUGCAUUAGCGUUUCAAGUGGAAUCGGCAGUACAAAAUGCUACACUCCUUUCAACUAAUGGCUCAACUUCUGCUCAAGUUCAAGCCAUCUCAAGGACAAAGUCCAGUUUCAAACGAGGUAAACAAAAGAGUGAGAAAAUGCCAUUACAAAAUGGAAAGCCACAGACUUCAAAUAAAAGACGCCGUUUUCGCUGUGGAUCUAAUACUCAAUUGGCCAACGCACCAACUUGUCCUGCUGCGUCAGCCACAUGUCAUCACUGUGGAAAGAAAGGACAUUUUGUGCAAUGGUAGUAGACCCCCUGCGUGAGAUACUCAGAUCAUCUCAGAAUGGAUUUACAUGGACGGAGGCAGCGGAUGUGAGUUUUCGUGGGCUAAAGCAGCUGUUAGUCCACAGCCCAGCCUUGGCUUUAUUCGACCCCUCCUUACCAACAUUCGUGUCCACCGAUGCUUCAGAUUAUGGCAUUGCAGGUGUCAUCAUUCAACUGCACCCGGAUCAGACAGAGCGUCCAAUAGCAUUCGCUUAUCGUACGUUGACGCCAGCUGAAAGAAAAUACAGUACAGUUGAGAAAGAAGCAUUAGCGUGUGUCUGGACAGUAGAGCGUUGGAGGACUUACCUUUGGGGCAGGAAGUUUACACUGAGGACGGUCCACCAAGCGCUGACCACACUACUGGCCACCAAGGAACUCCUUGAGGCAUGCGAAUCUUGUCCAGAGUUGUCCAAGCUGCAUGCCCAAAUCACACAAGGCUGGCCUAAAACACAGAAACAAAUGGAUCCAACAAUCAUGGCAUACUUUCAGGUCAGGCAUGAACUAGCUAGGGAUGAUAAGUAUAUCAUGAGAGGACAGAGAUUGGUUGUGCCAGUUGCUUUGCACUCUAAAUUCAUUCACUUAGCACACGAAGGACACCAGGGCGUGGUACGAACUAAGCAACGGCUAAGAGAAUUGUACUGGUGGCCUCGUAUGGACUAUGAUGUGCAUUCAAUUAUUGCUUCUUGUUCCGCCUGUCAGUCCUGUGACAAAACUGCCCGGACAUGCCCAGCCCCAUUACAGCCAGUGGACCUACCAGACGGUCCAUUUCAGAAAGUUGCAAUACACAUUGUAGGACCGUUUGAGAGAGCCACGUAUGACUGUCGUUUUGCUAUAACGAUGGUGGAUUAUUAUAGCAAGUGGCCAGAGGUUGCAUUUACCUCAAAUGUUACAACCGACACAGUUACAAAGUUUCUAGCAUCUGUGUUUGCGAGAGAAGGUAACCCACUCACCUUAGUCAGUGAUAAUGGUCCUCAGAUGACUUCUACUGCAUUCGCUGAUUUCCUGGCUGAAAGAGGAAUAAAACACAAUCGUUGCAGUGUUUACUGGCCCCAAGCAAACGGUGCUGUGGAAAGAUGGAAUCGUGUUUUAAAGGACUGUAUCCAAGUAGCUGAAAUACAACAACUUCAAUUGAAACAAGCGGUCACAGACUUCCUCCAAAAUUACAGAGCUACCCCGCACACAACAACAGGGGUAUCACCAUUUGAACUGUUAAGAGGGAGGAAGAUAAACACAAAGUUAAACACUCUGUCAGCCACAACAGCUCAGGGAGAGGAAGUGCCAAUGGGCAUGCGUGACCGUGUGCAGCGAGUUCAACAAAAGAUGAAACAGUAUACAGAUCAGAAACGUGGCGCUAAACCACCACCCUUCAAGUGUGGAGAUCGUGUACGUAUAAGAAAACCAAUGCAUGUACCAAAGGCUGGAAGGAAGUUCACUGUUCCUUUGUCAGUGGAUAAGAAACUAGGACCAAGCACUUAUGUCUUGAGCGAUGGAAAGAAAUGGAAUGCAGC